rnacentral:rRNA from 1 species
GACGAACGCUGGCGGCGUGCUUAACACAUGCAAGUCGAACGGAAAGGCCCUGCUUUUGUGGGUUGCUCGAGUGGCGAACGGGUGAGUAACACGUGAGUAACCUGCCCUUGACUUUGGGAUAACUUCAGGAAACUGGGGCUAAUACCGGAUAGGAGCUCCUGCUGCAUGGUGGGGGUUGGAAAGUUUCGGCGGUUGGGGAUGGACUCGCGGCUUAUCAGCUUGUUGGUGGGGUAGUGGCUUACCGAGGCUUUGACGGGUAGCCGGCCUGAGAGGGUGACCGGCCACAUUGGGACUGAGAUACGGCCCAGACUCCUACGGGAGGCAGCAGUGGGGAAUAUUGCACAAUGGGCGGAAGCCUGAUGCAGCAACGCCGCGUGCGGGAUGACGGCCUUCGGGUUGUAAACCGCUUUCGCCUGUGACGAAGCGUGAGUGACGGUAAUGGGUAAAGAAGCACCGGCUAACUACGUG